UACGUAGGGGGCUAGCGUUGUCCGGAAUCAUUGGGCGUAAAGAGCGUGUAGGCGGCCCGAUAAGUCCGCUGUGAAAGUCCAGGGCUCAACCCUGGGAUGCCGGUGGAUACUGUCGGGCUAGAGUCCGGAAGAGGAGUGUGGAAUUCCCGGUGUAGCGGUGAAAUGCGCAGAUAUCAGGAGGAACACCGGUGGCGAAGGCGGGUCUCUGGGCCGAUACUGACGCUGAGGAGCGAAAGCGUGGGGAGCGAACAGG
rnacentral:rRNA from 1 species